rnacentral:rRNA from 1 species
AUAGAAUUAUUGCUGCGGUUAAAAAGCUCGUAGUUGGAUCUGUGCUAGCCGUCCGGUGCACUCUCUGAGUGUUACUGGUUCGGCUGGCUUUUCUGCCGGUCUCUCCCCGGCGUUGGCCUUUACCGGUCGGCGUCGGUGGGCUGGCGAGUUUACUUUGAACAAAUCAGAGUGCUUCAAACAGGCGUUUCGCUUGAAUGUUCGUGCAUGGAAUAAUAGAAGAGGAUUUCGGUCCGAUUUUAUUGGUUUUGCUGACCGAGAUAAUGGUUAACAGAGACAAACGGGGCCAUUCGUAUUGCUACGUGAGAGGUGAAAUUCUUGGACCGUAGCAAGACGGACUACAG